rnacentral:rRNA from 1 species
ACGGGAGGCAGCAGUGAGGAAUAUUGGACAAUGGAGGCAACUCUGAUCCAGCCAAACCGCGUGAAGGAAGACGGUCCUAUGGAUUGUAAACUUCUUUUGUAAGGGGAUAAACCUAGAUAUGUAUAUCUAGCUGAAGGUACCCUACGAAUAAGCAUCGGCUAACUCCGUGCCAGCAGCCGCGGUAAUACGGAGGAUGCAGGCGUUAUCCGGAUUUAUUAGGUUUAAAGGGUGCGCAGGCGGGACACUAAGUCGGCGGUGAAAUCUCAUGGCCCAACCAUGAAACUGCCAUCGAUACUGGUGACCUUGAGUACGAAUGAGGAAGGCGGAAUGAGUCGUGUAGCGGUGAAAUGCUUAGAUAUGUCACAGAACCCCGAUUGCGAAGGCAGCUUACCAGCAUACGACUGACGCUGAUGCACGAAAGCGUGGGUAUCAAACAGGAUUAGAUACCCUGGUA